GGCCCCAUCGUCUAGCGGCCUAGGACACGAGGUUUUCAGCCUCGGUACCACGGUUCGAAUCCGUGUGGGGUCACAA
rnacentral:tRNA from 1 species